rnacentral:lncRNA from 1 species
CCGCUUCAACAUUCUUUACAGAACCCACCAACACAAACCUACUAUCUUCCCUUUCUGCCACAUCAGAAAAUACAAAACAAGUGUUUACUUCACCUGGGUUUCUUGACUCUUGUCAUUGUCAGAAGACCCAGGUUCUUCUUCUUCACUAGCAGAAAAAAAAUUUUCAGACUCAGAGCUUGAGUCAGAUUCUUAAGCUGGAACCUCUUUCUUUUG